rnacentral:lncRNA from 1 species
GACCAUAUUUUGUUCAUUUUAUUUUAUGUAUUAUUUUAAUUACAAAAAAUACCAAAAAUAUGUUUGACCUUUCUUGACUUCUAAUCUUCAUUUCACUUCUGUUUACCAUUUGUUUAUGUUGAUUCCAUUCACAUUUGACCAUUAUAUUUUGAUUAUGUCAUUUGAAUUCUCAUUUUCUAUUCAUUUCAUUUCAUCUUCAUCUUCUUCUUUUUAUUGUGGCUAAUGAGUUAAUGAUUUGUGGUUAGCAUUGACAUAUGAGAGGCUUAACCUUCUUUGAUCUAAAUCAAAUUCAACUUGAUCAAAGAUCAAGUGAAUUGCUUUGUGUCCAAGAUAGGUUGCUUCUUGGUCAAGCAAAAUACCUAAAAUCCAUACAAGGCCUUUCAUUCUUUUCUUUUGGCAUGGCAAGUUGUACGAGCUUGGCUUACUAGUCAUGAUCUCUAACUUGUGUUUGUUUCCCUAUAGUUUUAUUGACCGACCUCAGAUAGGUGUGACUACUACAUUAGUCCAUUUACGAUUGCUUAACAUAGCGCUAAAUUGCUUUAUGACACACUAACACUAACUACUAAUUACUAAGUUUUAAUUCAAGCAUUUAAUUCUUGCAAUUUACUUUAAUGCAAUUUAAUUUCUUGCUCAUUUAUUCAUAUUGUCUUUUCCCUUUGCUCACACCCAAUAUAAGACCUUUAUGACCUGAUUUCACACACACACACGCCAUUGAAGAGAGAGAAACCGAAUCUACACAUUUUAAUCCUGCAAGCAUUUUUCUCCAUUGAAAGCUCUUCUCUCUUUAUUUCUCCUGCUUCCUUCCUCUCAUUUGAAGACUACAAAUCAUUGUUGGUGGGGUCUCUGAAGCUCAAACAAGCACAAGAGGUCGUGGACCUUCUCCACUAGGUAAGCUUCUCCUCUUUUCAUCUCCUUCAUUUUGGACUUGAAUAUGCCAUGAAUAGCUUACAUACAUUGCUUAUUAAUGGUUUAAAAUGAUAGUUUUGUUUGCUUGUUUGGAUGUUAGAUGUAUGAGUUGCUAAAAAUUUCUGAAAAUAGUGUGUUUUGCUUGACUUUCGUGCUAACUUUCUCCAUGAUUCAUACAUCUUUUUGAGAUUUUCUUGACAUGUUUUUGUUCUACUCUAUGAGAUCUACAAUUUUGCUUUUGAUUUCAUUUAAUUUCAUGGACUGUUGAUGAAGUUAUAUGCAUGUGAAGUUGUUGGGUAGAGGUUGCAUGAAUCUAGGGUUAGUUUCGUGCAUGCUUUUGGGUCGAAAUUGAAAAUGAUGUGUGGCGUGUUUUGAUUGGCUGGAUUUUAUUUUUAUCAUUUCUGACUUAAGUGGGUGUGACCGGUUGAUGCAAGGUCACAUGAUUAUUUUGUUUUAUUUAAAAUGACAUUCCCUUUUAAUUCUGAUUAAUAGGUUUGGAUCAUGGACUUUGUACCUUCACUUUCCCCACCCCCUACUUUAGCCCCAUCUACGUGUUUCACUUGGUUUCAGUUCAUUUCUUUUUUACUCCUGCACCCUCAUUUGCCAUUUAGCUUCAUUUUAUUUCUUUUAUUUUAUUUUUCUAUUCUGAUUCAAUUUUAAUAUUUCCAAUGCUCCAAAAAUACAUGAUUAUUUUUUAACAUGUUAAUUAAUUUUUUAUAUUUUUAUAUUUUAUUUUUAUAAUUGUUUUAAUAUUUUAUUUUAAUUAUAUCAUAAAAUGUGUUUAGCUUGGCUUAGUUUUUGAAUUAGGGUUUGA